rnacentral:rRNA from 1 species
GACGAACGCUGGCGGCGUGCUUAACACAUGCAAGUCGAACGGAAAGGCCCUGCUUUUGUGGGGUGCUCGAGUGGCGCACGCGUGAGUAACACGUGAGUAACCUGCCCUUGACUUUGGGAUAACUUCAGGAAACUGGGGCUAAUACCGGAUAUGAGCUCCUGCUGCAUGGUGGGGGUUGGAAAGUUUCGGCGGUUGGGGAUGCACUCGCGGCUUAUCAUCUUGUUGGUGGGGUAGUGGCUUACCAAGGCUUUGACGGGUAGCCGGCCUGAGAGGGUGACCGGCCACAUUGGGACUGAGAUACGGCCCAGACUCCUACGGGAGGCAGCAGUGGGGAAUAUUGCACAAUGGGCGGAAGCAUGGUGCAGCAACGCCGGGUGCGGGAUGACGGCCUUCGGGGUGUAAACCGCUUUCGCCUGGGACGAAGCGUGAGUGACGGUAAUGGGUAAAGAAGCACCGGCUAACUACGUG